AUAAGGCGUUGGUCUUCGGAACCAAAGAUUGUGGGUUCGAGUCCCACCGAGAUCC
rnacentral:tRNA from 1 species